rnacentral:rRNA from 1 species
GUCUAUGGCCCUACCACCCUGAACAUGCCCAAUCUCAUCUAAUCUCAGAAGCUAAGCAGGGUCAGGCCUGUUACUACUCAGAUGGGAAACCACCUGGGGAUACUAGGUGCUGAAGACU